AUUGAACGCUGGCGGCAGGCCUAACACAUGCAAGUCGAGCGGGGUUUUCGGACCUAGCGGCGGACGGGUGAGUAAUGCGUAGGAAGCUACCCGAUAGAGGGGGAUACCAGUUGGAAACGACUGUUAAUACCGCAUAAUGUCUACGGACCAAAGUGUGGGACCUUCGGGCCACAUGCUAUCGGAUGCGCCUACGUGGGAUUAGCUAGUUGGUGAGGUAAUGGCUCACCAAGGCGACGAUCCCUAGCUGGUUUGAGAGGAUGAUCUGCCACACUGGAACUGAGACACGGCCCAGACUCCUACGGGAGGCAGCAGGGGGGAAUAUUGGACAAUGGGCGCAAGCCUGAUCCAGCCAUGCCGCGUGUGUGAAGAAGGCCUUCGGGUUGUAAAGCACUUUCAGUAGGGAGGAAGCGUUGUGUGUUAAUAGUACACAGCGUUGACGUUACCUACAGAAGAAGCACCGGCUAACUCUGUGCCAGCCGCCGCAGUAAAAC
rnacentral:rRNA from 1 species